rnacentral:rRNA from 1 species
GAUGAACGCUAGCGGCAGGCCUAAUACAUGCAAGUCGAGGGGCAGCAGGGAUAGCAAUAUUCGCUGGCGACCGGCGCACGGGUGCGUAACACGUAUACAAUCUGCCUUUAACUGGGGGAUAGCCCGAAGAAAUUCGGAUUAAUACCCCAUAACAAUGGAACUGGCAUCAGUUCUAUUUAAAAGCUCCGGCGGUUAGAGAUGAGUAUGCGUCUGAUUAGCUAGUUGGUGAGGUAACGGCUCACCAAGGCUACGAUCAGUAGGGGAUCUGAGAGGAUUAACCCCCACACGGAUACUGAGACACGGAUCCGACUCCUACGGGAGGCAGCAGUAAGGAAUAUUGGACAAUGCCCGCAAGGGUGAUCCAGCCAUGCCGCGUGCAGGAAGACAGCCCUAUGGGUCGUAAACUGCUUUUACACCGGAGAAAACCCCACUACGUGUAGUGGGCUGAUAGUAUGGUGAGAAUAAGCAUCGGCUAACUUCGUGCCAGCAGCCGCGGUAAGACGAAGGAUGCAAGCGUUAUCCGGAUUCAUUGGGUUUAAAGGGAGCGUAGGUGGCCUUAUAAGUCAGUGGUGAAAUCUUCGAGCUUAACUCGGAAAUUGCCAUUGAUACUGUAGGGCUUGAGUAUAGUUGCCGUUGGCGGAAUAUGACAUGUAGUGGUGAAAUACAUAGAGAUGUCAUAGAACACCGAUUGCGAAGGCAGCUGACGAAACUAUAACUGACACUGAGGCUCGAAAGUGCGGGGAUCAAACAGGAUUAGAUACCCUGGUAGUCCGCACUGUAAACGAUGAUUACUCGCUGCUAGGGGGCAACUCUUAGUGGCUUAGCGAAAGCGAUAAGUAAUCCACCUGGGGAGUACGCCGGCAACGGUG